CGUGGCACAGACCCCACCAAGUGAAGAACACCACCAGAAAAACAUGUCUGGCUAGGCUGGAGGAGACCAGGCACAAAUCCCCACUCAGUCAAGAAGAUCAUGAGGAACAGAUCUACCACUCCAUCUGAAGUUUGUGACAAUGAGGUCUGAGUCAAAAGAGCACCCAUGGGCAUCACACUGCCUCUGAGGUCUUCCUCUGGCACCCGUGAAAAUUCGGAGUCCACCCCACACCUUGUCGUGGCAGGUGGGCAUCGGCAUCCAAAAGAGGUUCUGGGAGGAAGCCCUGGUUUCUAUUGAGGUUUGAACUGACAGCGCCUCAUGACUCCACCAGUGAGUCUGUGGAAGAAGACAUGAGAGGAAGUGGUAUAGAAAUUCAGGGCUCCUCAAAACUCAAAUGCACACCUGUU